rnacentral:rRNA from 1 species
GAUGAACGCUAGCGGCAGGCUUAAUACAUGCAAGUCGUGGGGCAGCAUGUCCCGCAGCAAUGCGGGCUGAUGGCGACCGGCAAACGGGUGCGGAACACGUACACAACCUUCCUUUAAGUGGGGAAUAGCCCAGGGAAACUUGGAUUAAUACCCCGUAAUAUAUCGAAGCGGCAUCGCUUUUAUAUUAUAGCCGCUAUUCGCUUGAAGAGGGGUGUGCGGCUGAUUAGGUAGUUGGCGAGGUAAUGGCCAACCAAGCCGAAGAUCAGUAACUGGUGUGAGAGCACGACCAGUCACACGGGCACUGAGACACGGGCCCGACUCCUACGGGAGGCAGCAGUAAGGAAGAUUGGUCAAUGGACGCAAGUCUGAACCAGCCAUGCCGCGUGGAGGAUGAAGGUCCUCUGGAUUGUAAACUUCUUUUAUCUGGGAAGAAAUCCAUUUUUUCUAAAAUGGUUGACGGUACCAGAUGAAUAAGCACCGGCUAACUCCGUGCCAGCCGCCGCAGUAAGAC